UACGGGGGGGGCAAGCGUUGUUCGGAAUUACUGGGCGUAAAGGGCUCGUAGGUGGCUAACUAAGUCGGACGUGAAAUCCCUCAGCUCAACUGGGGAACUGCGUCUGAGACUGGCGAGCUUGAGUGCAGGAGAGGAAUGCGGAAUUCCAGGUGUAGCGGUGAAAUGCGUAGAUAUUGGGAAGAACACCGAUGGCGAAGGCAGCCAUCUGGACCGACACUGACGCUGAGGCGCGAAAGCGUGGGGAGCAAACAGG
rnacentral:rRNA from 1 species